UACGCAGGCGGUCUAAUAAGUCAGAGGUGAAAUCCACCGGCUCAACCGGUGAACUGCCUUUGAAACUAUUAGACUUGAGGAUAAGAGAAGAAAGCGGAAUUCCUAGUGUAGUGGUGAAAUACGUAGAUAUUAGGAAGAAUACCGAUGGCGAAAGCAGCUUUCUAGCUUAUUCCUGACGCUCAGGUACGAAAGCUAGGGUAUCAAACG
rnacentral:rRNA from 1 species